rnacentral:lncRNA from 1 species
AGUCCUUCCUUCGGAAAUAAUGCACGGGCCCGCAGUUCUCAGGAGGGGCUCAGCUGCUGCAGACUGUGGGGUGAGGGGGAGCCGGAGCCCAGCCCCCGGAGAGUCCUUCCCAGGCCCCCCAGCCCUGGCCUUCGCCUAGAACACCUGGAGGCGGCGGCUCCUGCAGAGGGGCCGGGGGAGCCCCCAGAGGGAGCGGGCGGCCGGGCUCAUCAGCGGGCUGCAGGCUGGGCGGAGGCUGGGCCCACGCGGGGCUGUGCGGGGCGGGGCGGGGCUGUGCGGGGCGGGGGGGGGCGGGGCGGGGGGGGGGGCGGGGGGGGGGGGGGGGGCGGGGCGGGGCGGGCGGCGGGCGGGGGGGGGGGGGGGGGGGGCCGGGGGGGCGGGGGGCGCGGGGGGGGGGGGGGGGGGCGGGGGGGGGGGCGGGGCGGGCGGGGGGGGGCGGGGCGGGGGGCGGCGGGGGGGGGGCGGGGGCGGGCGGGGGGGGGGGCGGGGCGGGCGGGGGGGGGGGGGGCGGGGGCGGCGGGGGGCGGGGGGGGGGGCGGGGGGGGGCGAGGGGCGGGGGGGGGGGGCGGGGGGGGGGGGGCGGGGCGGGGGCGGGGGCGGGGCGGGGGGGGGGGGGGGCGGGGCGGGGGGCGGGGCGGGGCGGGGCGGGGGGGGGGGGCGGGGGGGCGGGGGGGGGGCGGGGGGGGGGGGGGGGCGGGGGGGGGGGGGGGCGGGGGGGGCGGCGGGGCCGCAGCUCGCUGGCCGCGCCUCGGGCUGGCUCCGCCGGGGCUGCCUCCCCGGGCCCUCGUCCACCGCAGGGCAACGCCCGCCGAGCGCCCCGGGCGGCGCCAGAGCGACCUGGAGGCCGGGAGGCCGGGAGGUCGCGCCUCCUCCUCUGCCCCCCGCGGGCACCGGGCGCUCAGGCCUCCGCGUCCCGUCCGCGUCCCCCCGCGAGACCAGCGCCGCGACCCUCCCGGAGGCGCAGCGAAUUGUGCCGCCCUGCAGGCUGGAGGGCGAGACGGCGAGAGCUGCACACGCACACGCACACGCACAUCCGUACUCGCACACAUCCACACACACACACACACACACACACACACACACACACACACACACGGCAGAGAGUAG